UCCCUGAUGGCUUAGACGGUAAAGAGUCUGCCUGCAGUGCAGGAGACCUGGGUUCAAUCCCUGGGUUGGGAA
rfam:Ovis aries breed Texel chromosome 3, whole genome shotgun sequence.